GGAAAUAGCCCAGUGGUAGAGUGCAUGCUUAGCAUGCAUGACAUCCUGGGUUCAAUCCUCAGUACCUCCA
rnacentral:tRNA from 1 species